rnacentral:rRNA from 1 species
GACGUAGGGUGCAAGCGUUGUCCGGAUUUACUGGGCGUAAAGAGCGCGUAGGCGGUCUGUUAAGUGUAGAGUGAAAUCUCUGGGCUCACCCCGGAAACUGCUCUGCAUACUGGCAGACUUGAGGGAAGCAGAGGUUUGUGGAAUUCCUGGUGUAGCGGUGAAAUGCGUUGAUAUCAGGAGGAACACCCCAUGGCGAAGGCAGCAAACUGGGCUUCAUCUGACGCUGAUGCGCGAAAGCGUGGGUAGCAAACAGG